AUUUUGGAUCUUCAAACCAAUAGGGUUUGUGUAUAAAAGGGUUUAUUGCAUAUAUGAGCUAUCCCAUAAUUUUAAGGAUUUUAUUUGGAGUUGAAAACGUAUUUUAUUUAUUAUUUAAAUAGUUAUAUAGCCCUAAAGGCAUUUCUAGGGCAAAUGUAUUUUUAUGUAUUUUAUUUUGAGGGAAAAUUACUACCAAAAGUUGAAUCAUGAUAAAACAUGGUAUUACAAAUUUUCUAGAAUUUAUUUGGACCAAUUUGGAGUUCCAAAUCAAAAGAUAUCAAAGAAAUGAGAAAAGGAGAAAAAGAAAAGGCUAAACGAAAAAAAAAAGGGAGAAAACCGAACCGGCCCGGCCA
rnacentral:lncRNA from 1 species